rnacentral:rRNA from 2 species
UCUGGUGUCAGCCGCCGCGGUAAAACCAGCACCUCAAGUGGUCAGGAUGAUUAUUGGGCCUAAAGCAUCCGUAGCCUGCUUUGUUAGUUUUCGGUUAAAUCCAUACGCUCAACGUAUGGGCUGCCGGGAAUACUGCAAAGCUAGGGAGUGGGAGAGGUAGACGGUACUCGGUAGGAAGGGGUAAAAUCCUUUGAUCUAUUGAUGACCACCUGUGGCGAAGGCGGUCUACCAGAACACGUCCGACGGUGAGGGAUGAAAGCUGGGGGAGCAAACCGGAUUAGAUACCCGGGUAGUCCCAGCUGUAAACUAUGCGAACUCGGUGAUGCAUUAGCUUGAUGCCAAUGCAGUGCCGCAGGGAAGCCGUUAAGUUUGCCGCCUGGGAAGUACGUACGCAAGUAUGAAACUUAAAG